UACGGAGGGUGCGAGCGUUGUCCGGAAUCAUUGGGCGUAAAGCGCGCGUAGGCGGCCCGGUAAGUCCGCUGUAAAAGUCAAAGGCUCAACCUUUGAAUGUCAGUGGAUACUGCGGGCUAGAGUCCGGAAGAGGCGAGUGGAAUCCCGUGGUGUACGGUGGAAUGCGCAGAUAUCGGAGGAAGAACCAAUGCCGAACGGCGAAGGC
rnacentral:rRNA from 1 species